UUCAUGAAUACGUAAAUGGAUAAAUAAUAUACAAACACACACACACACACACACACACACACACACACACACACACACACAGUCACGAACACAACGCUUUCUCUGACCACGUGACUUGGAUUGACCUAUUCCUCCUCCUCCUCCUCCUCCUCCUAAAAGAAAGAAAAUGUGCCUCGGGCUGUCUCGGAACGUCGGUGCUGCUUAGAAUGCGGUGCUUCGAAGAGAGGAGGAGGAGGAGGAGGAGGAGGAGGGAAAGAUUUAGGAGGAAGGUACGAUAGGAAGGAAGGUAAAAUGAAAGAAAGAAAACACCCCCGAAAAAACUUAUCAGGAAACAUCAGUAUACGAAGAAAGAAGAAUGGAAUGCAAGGAUGAAUAAAAGAAAAUGGGUAGGAGGUGAAGAAAAGAAAAUGGGUAGGUGAAGAAAAGAAAAUGGGUAGAAGGUGACGAAAAGAAAAUGGGUAAGUGAAGAAAAGAAAAUGGGUAGGAGGUGAAGAAGAGGAAAUCGAAGAAGAGUUAUAUGAUGACGAAUAUGAGAGAAGGACCGGAGGAGGAGGAGGAAGAGGAGAGCGAAAGAAGGAAAAAAGCAUUGCGUAAAAAGAAGACAGAUAAUUAUGAUAUAAGUAAAGAAGAACGGAAGAGCAAUGAAACAAAGUGAAAAUGCGCUAAAAGAAAAAAAAACAAAGAAAAACGAAAGAAUAAUAUAUGUAAAUUAGAAGAAAAAAAUAAGAAAAGGAAAAGAUAAUGAAGAAAAUAGGACAAAGAGGAGGACGACACAGAUCAUGAGGAAAAAUAUAAUGAAAAAAUAUAUAUAACCAGAACUAGACAAAAAAAGAAACACCAUUAUGAAAGAAAAGCCAGAACAGUAAAUAAACAAUGAGAAAAAAAGAAUAAACAAAAUAACAACAACAAACAGAACACGAGGCUUUUGUUGUGUCAUCUUUUUUACCCUGCCAUAAAAAAAUAAUACCAACAAACAAACAAACAAACAGCUGAUGCC